GAAGAAGGCAAGGGUGCAGUGGGUGUAUGUAGCUAAGGAAUCGAGCCUCCAGAUUGGGAGAGAUCACCAAGGAAUAAACGAGAAGCAGACAAAGAAAAAAAAAGACCAAGGACUGAAUCCCAAGGCAUCUAAUGUUAAGAGGUGGAGAGAGAGGGAAAAAUGAGCAAAGACAACGCAGAUGUAGGAGAAAAACCUACUGGAAGCCUGCUGGAAAAAGUUUGUGCCUUCAGUCUCUUGCCUCGGCACCUGGGUAAUCUUCCGCCCACAGUGAGCCACCAAGCCCGGCCAAGAAUCCAGCUUUCAAGUUUCUCUUGAAACAUCAGAGGAUCUAAUCACACUGGGUCUUCCCCUCAUCCCCAUCUUUA